AAUCCCAGUGAAGAAUUUAUAUGAAAUUAGAAGUAAUGGACUCGAUUUUUAUUUGAUGAGCAAUGGAUUCUAAGGGAUU